GAGCCCGGAUGGUGGAAUCGGUAGACACAAGGGAUUUAAAAUCCCUCGGCGUUCGCGCUGUGCGGGUUCAAGUCCCGCU
rnacentral:tRNA from 1 species